GGGUUGUGAGGUUAAGCGACUAAGCGUACACGGUGGAUGCCCUGGCAGUCAGAGGCGAUGAAGGGCGUGCUAAUCUGCGAUAAGCGCCGGUAAGGUGAUAUGAACCGUUAUAACCGGCGAUACCCGAAUGGGGAAACCCAGUGUGACUCGUCACACUAUCAUUAACUGAAUCCAUAGGUUAAUGAGGCGAACCGGGGGAACUGAAACAUCUAAGUACCCCGAGGAAAAGAAAUCAACCGAGAUUCCCCCAGUAGCGGCGAGCGAACGGGGAGGAGCCCAGAGCCUGAAUCAGCAUGUGUGUUAGUGGAAGCGUCUGGAAAGGCGCGCGAUACAGGGUGACAGCCCCGUACACAAAAGCGCAUGUGCUGUGAGCUCGAUGAGUAGGGCGGGACACGUGGUAUCCUGUCUGAAUAUGGGGGGACCAUCCUCCAAGGCUAAAUACUCCUGACUGACCGAUAGUGAACCAGUACCGUGAGGGAAAGGCGAAAAGAACCCCGGCGAGGGGAGUGAAAAAGAACCUGAAACCGUGUACGUACAAGCAGUGGGAGCACAGGUUUACCUGUGUGACUGCGUACCUUUUGUAUAAUGGGUCAGCGACUUAUAUUCUGUAGCAAGGUUAACCGAAUAGGGGAGCCGCAGGGAAACCGAGUCUUAACCGGGCGUUAAGUUGCAGGGUAUAGACCCGAAACCCGGUGAUCUAGCCAUGGGCAGGUUGAAGGUUGGGUAACACUAACUGGAGGACCGAACCGACUAAUGUUGAAAAAUUAGCGGAUGACCUGUGGCUGGGGGUGAAAGGCCAAUCAAACCGGGAGAUAGCUGGUUCUCCCCGAAAGCUAUUUAGGUAGCGCCUCGUGAAUUCAUCUCCGGGGGUAGAGCACUGUUUCGGCUAGGGGGCCAUCCCGGCUUACCAACCCGAUGCAAACUGCGAAUACCGGAGAAUGUUAUCACGGGAGACACACGGCGGGUGCUAACGUCCGUCGUGAAGAGGGAAACAACCCAGACCGCCAGCUAAGGUCCCAAAGUCAUGGUUAAGUGGGAAACGAUGUGGGAAGGCCCAGACAGCCAGGAUGUUGGCUUAGAAGCAGCCAUCAUUUAAAGAAAGCGUAAUAGCUCACUGGUCGAGUCGGCCUGCGCGGAAGAUGUAACGGGGCUAAACCAUGCACCGAAGCUGCGGCAGCGACACUAUGUGUUGUUGGGUAGGGGAGCGUUCUGUAAGCCUGUGAAGGUGUGUCGUGAGGCAUGCUGGAGGUAUCAGAAGUGCGAAUGCUGACAUAAGUAACGAUAAAGCGGGUGAAAAGCCCGCUCGCCGGAAGACCAAGGGUUCCUGUCCAACGUUAAUCGGGGCAGGGUGAGUCGACCCCUAAGGCGAGGCCGAAAGGCGUAGUCGAUGGGAAACGGGUUAAUAUUCCCGUACUUGGUGUUACUGCGAAGGGGGGACGGAGAAGGCUAUGUUGGCCGGGCGACGGUUGUCCCGGUUUAAGCGUGUAGGUGUGUGUUCCAGGUAAAUCCGGUUCACUUUAACACUGAGGCGUGACGACGAGGCACUACGGUGCUGAAGCAACAAAUGCCCUGCUUCCAGGAAAAGCCUCUAAGCAUCAGGUAACAUCAAAUCGUACCCCAAACCGACACAGGUGGUCAGGUAGAGAAUACCAAGGCGCUUGAGAGAACUCGGGUGAAGGAACUAGGCAAAAUGGUGCCGUAACUUCGGGAGAAGGCACGCUGACACGUAGGUGAAGUGAUUUACUCACGGAGCUGAAGUCAGUCGAAGAUACCAGCUGGCUGCAACUGUUUAUUAAAAACACAGCACUGUGCAAACACGAAAGUGGACGUAUACGGUGUGACGCCUGCCCGGUGCCGGAAGGUUAAUUGAUGGGGUCAGCGCAAGCGAAGCUCCUGAUCGAAGCCCCGGUAAACGGCGGCCGUAACUAUAACGGUCCUAAGGUAGCGAAAUUCCUUGUCGGGUAAGUUCCGACCUGCACGAAUGGCGUAAUGAUGGCCAGGCUGUCUCCACCCGAGACUCAGUGAAAUUGAACUCGCUGUGAAGAUGCAGUGUACCCGCGGCAAGACGGAAAGACCCCGUGAACCUUUACUAUAGCUUGACACUGAACAUUGAGCCUUGAUGUGUAGGAUAGGUGGGAGGCUUUGAAGCGUGGACGCCAGUCUGCAUGGAGCCGACCUUGAAAUACCACCCUUUAAUGUUUGAUGUUCUAACGUGGACCCGUUACCCGGGUUGCGGACAGUGUCUGGUGGGUAGUUUGACUGGGGCGGUCUCCUCCUAAAGAGUAACGGAGGAGCACGAAGGUUGGCUAAUCCUGGUCGGACAUCAGGAGGUUAGUGCAAUGGCAUAAGCCAGCUUGACUGCGAGCGUGACGGCGCGAGCAGGUGCGAAAGCAGGUCAUAGUGAUCCGGUGGUUCUGAAUGGAAGGGCCAUCGCUCAACGGAUAAAAGGUACUCCGGGGAUAACAGGCUGAUACCGCCCAAGAGUUCAUAUCGACGGCGGUGUUUGGCACCUCGAUGUCGGCUCAUCACAUCCUGGGGCUGAAGUAGGUCCCAAGGGUAUGGCUGUUCGCCAUUUAAAGUGGUACGCGAGCUGGGUUUAGAACGUCGUGAGACAGUUCGGUCCCUAUCUGCCGUGGGCGCUGGAGAACUGAGGGGGGCUGCUCCUAGUACGAGAGGACCGGAGUGGACGCAUCACUGGUGUUCGGGUUGUCAUGCCAAUGGCACUGCCCGGUAGCUAAAUGCGGAAGAGAUAAGUGCUGAAAGCAUCUAAGCACGAAACUUGCCCCGAGAUGAGUUCUCCCUGAGACUUUAAGUCUCCUGAAGGAACGUUGAAGACGACGACGUUGAUAGGCCGGGUGUGUAAGCGCAGCGAUGCGUUGAGCUAACCGGUACUAAUGAACCGUGAGGCUUAACCUUACAACGCCGAAG
rnacentral:rRNA from 1 species